AUUGAACGCUGGCGGCAGGCCUAACACAUGCAAGUCGAACGGUAACAGGAAGAAGCUUGCUUCUUUGCUGACGAGUGGCGGACGGGUGAGUAAUGUCUGGGAAACUGUCUGUUGGAGGGGGAUAACUACUGGAAACGGUAGCUAAUACCGCAUAACGUCCCAAGACCAAAGAGGGGGACCUUCUCGCCCCUUGCCAUCGUAUGUGCCCAGAUGGGAUUAGCUAGUAGGUGGGGUAACGGCUCACCUAGGCGACGAUCCCUAGCUGGACUGAGAGGAUGACCAGCCACACUGGAACUGAGACACGGUCCAGACUCCUACGGGAGGCAGCAGUGGGGAAUAUUGCACAAAGGGCGCAAGCCUGAUGCAGCCAUGCCGCGUGUAUGAAGAAGGCCUUCGGGUUGUAAAGUACUUUCGGCGGGGAGGAAAGGAGUAAAGUUAAUACCUUUGCUCAUUGACGUUACCCGCAGAAGAAGCACCGGCUAACUCCGUG
rnacentral:rRNA from 1 species